CCAAUAGCGUAUAUUAAAGUUGUUGCAGUCAAAAAGCUCGUAGUUGAAUUUUGGGUUUGGCCGAUUGGUCCGUUCUUGUAGCGAGUACUGGUCGGUUGGGCCUCACCGCUUGGGGAAGGGUAAUGUCCUUUAUUGGGUGUUGCUCGGAGCCAAGACCUUUACCUUGAAAAAAUUAGAGUGUUUAAAGCAGGCUUAUGCCGGAAUACAUUAGCAUGGAAUAAUAGAAUAGGACAACGAUUCUAUUUUGUUGGUUUCUAGGACCGUUGUAAUGAUUAAUAGGGAUAGUUGGGGGCAUUAGUAUUCAAUUGUCAGAGGUGAAAUUCUUGGAUUUAUUGAAGACUAACUACUGCGAAAGCAUUUGCCAAGGAUGUUUUCAUUAAUCAAGAACGAAAGUUAGGGGAUCGAAGACGAUCAGAUACCGUCGUAGUCUUAACCAUAAACUAUGCCGACUAGGGAUCGGGCGAUGUUGUUUCAAUGCCUCGCUCGGCACCUUAUG
rnacentral:misc_RNA from 1 species